rnacentral:lncRNA from 1 species
UUUCCCCUUUCACUCAGCCGCCCCCAUUUCCCUUUCUUCUCUCUCUUCUCUCAUCUCAAUCAACCAUCAUUCUCAGAACCUUGCACAAAUUUGUGCUCGGUCACUUGAAACCACUGAAAAACAUCUUUUUUGUUCCUGCUACACCACGAAUCCCGCAUAUAAUUUCCUCUUUCAUCACACAGGCUCAAGGGCCCUAAUCCGAAACCCUAAGUCCAAAAGAGAAAUCAUCUGAUUUGCUCUCAUAAGUCAAAGAUCGAGCUUGAAACCACCCAUUUCCUUCUCAAAACCGCGAAUCCAGCCAGCUAUUUCCUAUUUCAUCAUUCAAAUUCAAAACACCCAAAUCCUGAAACCCUAGACUCAAGAAUGCAACGUUAAAUCUCCAAUUUUCCUUCGUGUUCCGUCAAAUCGGAGCAUGUAUGGAGUCGUCUCACACUUCAUCAUGAGGAUUCGAUGUCUAGAGGUCAAAAUCAGUGUCCUCUAGACAUUAGGGUUUUAACCACUGAUCCAAAUCCUUCAACGUUCGAUCCUCGUACUAAGGUAACUUGUUCACCAUUUUUCUCCUCUGUCUCUCAUAUUUUCACUUGAUUUUUCUAUAAUUGUCAAUCUUUCAUCACUUUCCACUCACGAUUUUGAAUCCGAUUAAAACCCUAGAGCCUUAAUGGCACUAUAAAAAGGGCCUUUAAUGUUCACAUCUACCACGACCUAACACUGAAAAACAACCUAACAACAUCUACACAAUCAUCUAAGAGUAAUUCUGAGAUUUCGAAACCUAGGGUUUCUUACUGAUUCCCUUUUUUUUGUUUCUAAUUACUUUCGAUGCUUUGAGCUUGAAGCUUUGGGGUCUUAGGCGAUUAAGAAGGAUCCUUGUUUGGUCUUCUACCCUCGAAAAGGUCAGUAUACCUCUGACUCUUCUCUUUUGAUCAUCUUAUUAGAAUGUUAUGAAUAUACUCAUUGUCUUCUGUUAAUUGUAAUUAUUUGUGGUGCUAUCACUGAUAUACAAAAAUGUUAUCUCCAUGUUCAUGAUAAGGUGUUAUUGGUCUGUGAGCCUUUGUCAUGUUUCUGAGUAUCCACAAGUUGAUGUCGACGAGUGUGUUAUAUGACUAUAACAACUCUUAUAUCUGAGUCCUAGUAGUCUGCAUGAUUAAGUUCCUUUUAAUAUGUAUGAAUGACUUCCAUGUUUGCCUAAAUUUCAGAGUUUUCCUGUCAAUAAUCCUAUUGUGAUCAUUAUCACUAUACCAUGCUUUCCUGCGUUCUUAUGGUGAAGUUAAUUAUUUGAUAAUCCAAACUGAGGUCAUUUGAAAGUUCAUAAGUUCAUAUCAUCCAUCAUUCAACUAUAGCAUGAAAAUCUAAGUGUUUAGAUGCUUUCCUUAUCUAUACCUAUAUCUGCCAACUCCGAGGGCAACUUCUGGAUGUCACUAUGGCAUUCUCAUGAUUAUACCUAACUCUUGAUUGCUUGUGUAUGAAACAGUCUUGUUUGAGUCGAAUUUUCUUCUUUUCAUGAAUACCAAUAGUUCUAUUAUGUAUAUUCUGUUAGGAUUAAGUUAUCUUUUUCUUCAUAGGGCAAGUCAUGAUCAUGUUUUGUUAUAAUUAACAGGUAAUUGAUGUUAAGUUGAACUUAGCUGUCUCAUGUUUAGAUAAAGCCUUCAGUUACAUGUUUAAGUCAAAACCUAUUUGGGGUAGUACUUUCCUGUCUUUGAUAUCUUUUAAGCUACUGUUGACUUUGUGAGGCUUACAUGCAGUUAUCAUUGAGUUAUCUUCCAUAAAAGUAGGACCUAGUUAUUCCUAUUAUAAUCAAGUGAUGAUUGUUAUACUGAGUGUGAUUUCUUCAUAUCUAGAUACUAAUUUAAGCUAUAUACCUGGGUUAAACUUGUUUUGGUAUAACAUUUCCCUUAUCUGCAACCCCCCUCCCUUCAUGACAUGGUUAACUUGAUUUUGUAACAUCUAAAGUUCCCUGUCUGUAUAAUAUUACAACCUCACUUGAAGUGUUUAUAUAUAACAAACUGAAUAUUGCAUGUUCCCCUGUUUGGCUUCCUGACUCGAUGCUUUGUUUUGAACUACCUUGAAACCUUUCGUUAUUAAUCUGAAACUGAAUCUGAUCCUUAAACCUUAUGAGAAGUAUUUGUUUGAUAUUGUCUGAACAUAGUGUCUUGUUUAAGGUUAAUACUAUUACGAAUAUGAUCAUGUUGAGCCCUCAAGGGAUUCCAUGUUCAAGCCUAUGGACCUAUAGUCAUAUUGAGAGUCCAGAUCAUAUUUCUGAUAUCUCUGAUAACUUCUGUAAAAGGUGCUAGUUGCCACUGUUUGCCUAAACCUUUACUAAUACCUUUUAAAAUUCCAAGUAGUGUUUCCAAUCCAUGCAUGUGCUAGUAGCAAGCUAAUCAGUUCUUUAUUAGCCUGUCAGGGUAUGAGUAUCUGUAUUUCUUGUAUUACUGCAUAUAUGAACUCUGUAUUCCUCACUUUCCCUUUGAAUGUGUUUCUUCCUAAUAAUUAGGCCUUUAACAUUAUGUUAUGAUGUUUGUGUUUCUCUCUUAUGUGUGUUUGAAGGUCUGACCUUCAGAUGUACCUAACAUGUGGAUUAUUCAUCUAUUGUUAGAAAGAAUAUAGAGUUGUUUAUGUACCCUUAUGUUGUUCUAUUAGAAGGGAAAGUAUACUUUUUGUGGUAAGGGAUACUAUAGAAUUUAGUUUACAUUGAAAGGGCCUCAUUGGCAUUUAAACCCAUAAGAAAAAAUAAGUCGCUAGUGGUUAGGGGUAUUUGGGAGUGGAGUUUAACUCUAGGUUGGGUUGCUCUCCCCGGCACAAGCAUUGCCCUGGACCUUGGGUCCCUUGGGAACUUUGAAGUGUCGGAGGAUUCAAAGGGGGCAUCGACCUUGAAUAGAAUUUCCACCUUAGCCCUUGAUUCGUUGACACUUUUGGUUCUUUAAGGGUUUAGUGUUUAAUGACGUCGAAAAGUUUUCAAUGUAAAAUAUUUGCCAUGUAUAACUACCACAUUAGUAUAAUUUUCAUAGUAUUUGAGUGUUGAUAUUUUAAUAUACUUUUGUUCCAAUCGUCUGCUUAUAUAUUUCAUACAUGGUUGAAAUGGUGAAUAUAUGGAUCAUGUGUUUAAUGACUUUCUUUCUCUUUUGGACAUGUACAUCUACUUGGGCCCGCUGAGUUCCUAAGGAACUAGGCCCAAUCCCAACCUUGUUGUAUUUUUCUGGAGAGUCCAACAUCAGCCGUAGCUGCAUCUCUUUACUGUUGGGCCUGCCUUCUUGAGGCCCAAUUACCAGAGUCUAGUCCUCUUUCUCUCAAUUCCCUUUGUUAUUGUCUAUUGCUCCUUUAAUCUAGUUUACUGCUUCAUUAACUUUUAUCGGCUACC